ACAUGGCUAUGAUUGGUUAUAUGAGUUUGUGAAAUUACAAACCUAAUUUCUGGGUGGUGUCAAAGAUGGGAUUACCUGAAACGGAUUCCCACGUUGCUUUGUGAUUUGGUGAUUAUGGUUCUUGACUUCUCUAAGAGAGGAAUAAAAGUGCCACACUCACUAAUGACCAAAUUGGUCAGUUCCACUCAUAUGCCCCCUAUAGCCUCUUUACCAUCUAGCCUUUCCAGAGUUAACCUAUUGUAAAAUUAGAUUGUAAAAAUGGACAGAGUGGCCACCACUCUGGGAUAAGGGUGAAGGACUCAUGGUGUCAUCCCCACUAAAUACUCCAGUGGAAAUUAUCACUUAAUUAUUUGUGAUAUCACCCAGCUCCCCAAAGAGCUGGCCUUCCUUUUCAGCCCCAGUUAUCUUUUGGAAGUGUAACUCUUUCAGUUUGAUUGUCCUGGGAACACAUGCAGUUUUCUCUUGAUGGGGAAACCCCUCUCUGAAGGUCUGCGUUUUAAGUGGCAGAGAUGCAAAAACAGCCUUCUAGACAGAGUUUCUAAUUGAAUUCUCCUCUAUACCGUUAUCCAUAAACUGAGUAAUGCAUCCAAGGAAGAAGAGAGGAUGAGAGAGGUCAGGAAGUUUAGAUUCCAGUAAAAUUUAAAUAGCCACUGAAUUUGCCAUAGCAAAACAUGAGCUAUGAUUCUGUUAGUACACAGGAAAAGUCAAUUAGGUGAACUGAUUUUUUAUGGUGUUGGGAAUAUUAUAAUUCAGGGAUUCUUAACCUAUAGCUUAACCUAUAGGCAAUUUAAGACUAGAUUUCAGGGGUAGGGCAGUGAAACUUCUAAAAUUGCUGUAACAUUUUUUAUUAAGUCAUAGGCAGUUUCCUAGGGAGAGGCUUUUAUCAAAUUCUCAGAAGGGUCCACUGCCAUAAAAGAUUAAGGAACCACUGCAUUCUAUCAUCAUAAUUUUUUGUCUUCUUUCAAAAGUUGAUAUUCUGGUUUUUUUUAUGCAGAAAAGACAAAAGCAUGUACAACUCUGAUAUUUCAUGAUCUUUAAUUUCUUCCCCCUCCUGGAUGUCCUAUAAUAAAUGUACAGGAAAGAAAUAUAAAACGCUAUCCAAACUCAGUUAAUAGCUCUGAGAAAUGCACACUCAGAGUGCUUUAAAAUCAGGUUACAAAUAUCAUUUUCAAUUUGCUGGGGAGAAAAUAGGAAGAGUCCCUUGGAAUACAGAAUAAAUUCAUUCUAUGUACAUUAUCAGUGUUGGUUCAUUAUAUUCUCAUUGGCCCACAACUCAACACAUCUUUAAGAAGCAAAAGUGCAUACACUCUCCCUUACUGACAAUAUUUAGGGGAAGACCACAUACUUUGUGAACUACUGUGAGUUGAGUUCUUGUAGUCAAAGCAGUAGUAGGUGGAGCUUCAUUCUCUGGUAUUAAAAUCCUAAAAGUGAGUAGUGUUAUUAAUUGGGGGCACUUUUGAGAUUUGAUUAAGAAAUUUACUGCUCUUGUGGGUUGUUUCCUCCCUUGUGGGAUGUUCUGGAUGAAUGUCAAGGUCUAGCCCCGGCAGAUUCCAGAAAGCUUGUCCAUCUAAAUUUGCUGUUAAGCCAUGGGAACUUUUCUAUUGCAGUCUUUGGGUCAUGGUAACGUGUAAAGCCUAGAGUUUGUUGAAGGGCACUUUUCUCUCUCUAAAAUUCUCCAUUCCUCACAACUGGUUUUUAUUAUUCCGUGACAUGCUGGGAGUGUUGCUAUGACUGUUUGAGAAGUAUGGGCAGAUAUAUUGCUGGCUGGCUUCUUACAGGAAGAGUUUCCCAUGAUGAACGGGAGCAGUGAUAGAUCACACCUACUAGAGCUGAAGUGUGGAUUGAGCCAGGACUUGAAGAGUAAAUGGAAAAUGAAAAAAAAAAAAAAAAGGCUUGGGGGAGGGUGGUUUCUUUUAUUUCUCACCUUAUUCUACUGGGCUGUUGUCUUUCCCUAAGAUCAUGGCAAAAAGUUUCAGAGAUUAUGUACAACAACUGUAUUGGAACCCUGCAACCAUUACAAAAUUGAAUUAGAAGUAAUUGGUUUUAUGCUACUCUGAGCACCCACCAUAGCUUAAACACAUACACACAUGCGUGCACGCAGGCACACACACACACAAACACACACACACGGGUGAUAAUGAAAAAUACUUUGGUGGCCUCAGGAAAUGAUAGAAUUUUCUCCCAUGUUUAGCUCCCACUCUCCUGAGGAACAGGUUGAUAGCUGUGACUAUUCUUCUUUGAUACCACACCAAAACUUAACAAGUUUCUCAAAAGUUAGUUGUGUGAUACCUGAAACAAUAUCAAUGAAUUUUUUAACUCCUUACAUUAAAAUACAUUGGUAUAUCUUUCACUAUGAAUAGGUCUUUUACCCAUCAUCAUUUUGUAACAUCACUCAUUGGUCAUUUGAAAAAUAUUGGUUCACUGAGUUAUGUUCAUUGAGUUAUGUGACAUACUUUGUUAGACAAUAUCAACGAUUUAUGUUCAUUAAUAUCACCAUUGAUCUCAUCAGAAAAGCACAAAUGUCAGUUGGACUGGAAUUUGAGAUGUUCCAUCAGUCUGUUUAAUCCUUUAGGUCUGACCAUGAUCUGAGAUGAAGUUUGUUCCUUGGUUUUGCUUUUGCUGGUUUGUGAUCUUGGUUCUCGACUUAGACUUGGAAGGCUGGACAGAGUCAGAGAGAUUGGCAGUGAUAAUCUUUACACGUGCUUUCUCCUUAUGUCAUUUUACAUUUGGAGCAAUCCCUUGAACUCAUAGGAUGAGUAUUGUUAGUUCCAUUUUACAGACAAGAAAAGAAGGCUCAGAGUAGUGAAAUGACUUGCCCUUUGAGUAGUUGAUGUCUAACUCCAAAUAUUUAUUCCACUAUUUUCUCUACUAAUCAUGGUAUUUCUCAUCACCAUUGCUAUGCCUGUGAGUAGAAUUUUUAUCCCUGUUUUCAGAGGGAAAACACUAGGAUUUUAAGAAACUUUUCCCCCUUGAUAAUCCAUCGAUUCAGUAGUUGUGCCAGAUACCAACCAGAGACCUCUUUGUAGGUCACACUCAAUCCCUAACAAGUCUAAAAGAAACAGGGCCAGGCAUGGUGGCUCAUGCCUGUAAUCCUAGCACUUUGGGAGGCUGAGGUGGGUGGAUUGCCUGAGCUCAGGAAUUUGAGACCAGCCUGGGCAACACAGUGAAACCCCAUCUCUACUAAAAUACAAAAAAAUUAGCUGGGUGUAGCAGCGUGCACCUGUAAUCCCGGCUACUUGGAAGGCU
rnacentral:lncRNA from 1 species